AUGCAUUUAGCAGUUAGGGCCCAGAGUCCAGCUAAAAUAAAGGACAAAAAUCACGUUCUGCCUAAGGCGGUUGGUUCGAAGCCAUCCAGGCUGUGGUCACUAGACCGAGAACACCGUCCCAACUACAGAAAACGAGACUCGAGCUCCCAGCAGUCCCCGCGUGGAGGCGGGGCAGGGGUUUGCCAGGCCCCGGACGCGGAGGCCCGAGCUCGCGGAGGAUGGCGGGAACUGGAAGAGCGACCGUCCGUAGACCUCCCUCAUACCCUUGCUCCCGCGACCCGGCCCCUUCUCAAGCCCUCUGCACGCUUGGCUCAAUCCCCUGGGACUGACAUUACUGCAGACCUUCUAAUGGAACCUUACUUCUUUUUCCUAGGUAAAUCGGCCUUCUGGCCAUUUUUGUGCAUGAUUCACAACUUUAUGUAAGUGUUCUGGCAAGCUGCUGCUGCUGCUGCUGUCGCUUCAGUCGUGUCCUACUCUGUGCAACCCCACAGACGGCAGCCGAACAGGCUCCGCCGUCCCUGGGAUUCUCCAGGCAAGAACACUGGAGUGGGUUGCCAUUUCCUUCUCCUCCGGCAAGCUAGAUGAAUGUAAAAUGUGGGCGUGAUCCAUUAAAGAUAUUGAGCACAAUAAGUUCCUAAAGCUGCAUUUGAAUGGGAAAUGGUUGAUACCAGGCAGAGGAUGCUUGCCAGUUUCCUGACAGUCUAGGGGUGAAGGACAAACCACUGCAAGAGAAGAGCAAGACAAGAGGUGGUUAGUUGGCAGUGAGGAGAGAGCAGUUUGGGGAGGUGAGGAUACUGAGCGGUGGUGAGGGGUUUUGACAGACGAGAGAUUUCUCUGGGUGGAGAAUUCAUCAGGGUCUGAGCUUCUUGAAGACAAAGGCUAUUAUGGCCACCUGGGAUUUACUGGGCUUUAGCUAAUCCUGGGCUUGGAGACACACAGAUUACCUGUCUGGCCUAUUUCUGGGUGUGUCAUACAGAGAACAAAACCCAGUAAAAGAGAUGGGAGAGCAGAACUCCUGAGAGGUGGAAGGGUCCUUCUCCAAGGUGAAGCAGAUGGCAAGUCAGAGUAGGUAGGUCUUGCUUGAUGGAUAGCUGCCCACACAAAGAGAGAGGCUCUGAGAAAGCCUGGGAGAAGGAAAGAAAGGGGACAGAAGCAGGCCAGUGAACACCUCCAGUAUUAGAAAGGAGUCAACAGCCAGGACCAGGCACCAAACCUGGAGACACCUGUAUGAUUCUUUCUUUUAAUUAAAAUAAAAAAAUUCUGGCUGUGCUUGGUCUUUGUUGUGGUGCAUGGGCUUUCUCUAGUUGCAGUGCGCGGGUCUCUUGUUGAGGUGGCUUCUCUUCUUUUGGAGUACGAGCUCUGGAGCUCGUAGGCUCAGUAGUUGCCAGGGUUUGGUGGGAUCUUAGUUCUGUGACCAGAGAUCGAACCCACAUCCCCUGUACUUGAAGGUGAAUUCUUAACCAUCGAACCACCAGGGAAGUCCAACACCUGCAUGAUUCUUAACUGUUGUGUGACUUCCCUAGCGGUGGUAUUUAUGUUUUUCCAUGUCAGUUUCUAUGGUGAUUAGCUAUACCCAGUAGGAGUAAAACAGCAAAAGCUUUAAAAUAAAGUGGGUUUGUCUUUGGGGGCAGCAAGGAUGUGGGGAGCUAGGGAGGCUGGCAAAGGCACGACCCCAAA
ensembl:lincRNA